rnacentral:rRNA from 1 species
UACGUAGGUGGCAAGCGUUGUCCGGAUUUAUUGGGCGUAAAGCGAGCGCAGGCGGUUUCUUAAGUCUGAUGUGAAAGCCUUCGGCUCAACCGAAGAAGUGCAUCGGAAACUGGGAAACUUGAGUGCAGAAGAGGACAGUGGAACUCCAUGUGUAGCGGUGAAAUGCGUAGAUAUAUGGAAGAACACCAGUGGCGAAGGCGGCUGUCUGGUCUGUAACUGACGCUGAGGCUCGAAAGCAUGGGUAGCAAACAGGAUUAGAUACCCUGGUAGUCCAUGCCGUAAACGAUGAGUGCUAGGUGUUGGAGGGUUUCCGCCCUUCAGUGCCGCAGCUAACGCAUUAAGCACUCCGCCUGGGGAGUACGACCGCAAGGUUGAA